CUGGCUGUUUUUCAAGCACAAUCUGUUAAAGCUAGUCCAUCCGCAUUGAUUGCCAAAUAUUUUUUUUGGUUCUUGCGCUAGGUCAGUUUACUUACUACAAGUAAUGGGUAGUAUGUACGCCGGCUGUUUCCUCGCUUUGAAGGAG
rnacentral:sRNA from 1 species